rnacentral:misc_RNA from 1 species
GAUGAAGAACGCAGCGAAAUGCGAUACGUAAUGUGAAUUGCAGAAUUCAGUGAAUCAUCGAGUCUUUGAACGCACAUUGCGCCCCCUGGUAUUCCGGGGGGCAUGCCUGUCCGAGCGUCAUUGCUGCCCUCAAGCACGGCUUGUGUGUUGGGCCUCCGUCCUCCUCCCGGGGGACGGGCCCGAAAGGCAGCGGCGGCACCGCGUCCGGUCCUCGAGCGUAUGGGGCUUCGUCACCCGCUCUUGUAGGCCCGGCCGGCGCUUGCCGACACAUCAAUCUUUUUUCCAGGUUGACCUCGGAUCAGGUAGGGAUACCCGCUGAACUUAAGCAUAUAAAUAAGCGGAGGA